rnacentral:rRNA from 1 species
GACGAACGCUGGCGGCGUGCUUAACACAUGCAAGUCGUACGGUAAGGCCCUUUCUGGGGUACACUAGUGGCGAACGGGUGAGUAACACGUGUGUAACCUUCCCACGACUUUGGGAUAACGCUACGAAACUGGGGCUAAUACUGGCUAUCUGCUCCUGCGGCAUGGUGGGGGUUGGAAAGCUCCGGCGGUUGUGGAUGGACUCGCGGCCUAUAAGCUUGUUGGUGGGGUAGUGGCCUACCAAGGCGGCGACGGGUAGCCGGCCUGAGAGGGUGACCGGCCAUACUGGGACUUAGGGGAGGCACAGGCGGCGAAGGGUGGAAGCAGUGGGGAAGACUGAACAAGGGGCGCCAGCCUGAUGCAGCAGGGCCGCGGGCGGGAUGACGCUCUUCGGGGUGAAAAACGCUUGCAGCAGGGAAGAAGCCUGUUGUGACGGUACCUGCAGAAGAAGCACCGGCUAACUACGUG